GUGAGCAAGAUGGAGAAGCAGGGCACGUGCAUUACUAACUCAUGCACAUAUAUACACAUUUUGUUAUCACUUUCGCUGAAAAGGGUGUGAGUUAGUUUUUCAUGUGCCCGUCUUCCCCAUCAUGACCAC
rnacentral:pre_miRNA from 1 species